rnacentral:rRNA from 1 species
UACGGGGGGGGCAAGCGUUGUUCGGAAUUACUGGGCGUAAAGGGUUCGUAGGUGGCCCGCUAAGUCAGACGUGAAAUCCCUCAGCUCAACUGGGGAACUGCGUCUGAUACUGGAUGGCUUGAGUUUGGGAGAGGGAUGCGGAAUUCCAGGUGUAGCGGUGAAAUGCGUAGAUAUCGGGAGGAACACCUGUGGCGAAAGCGGCGCACUGGACCACAACUGACGCUGAGGCGCGAAAGCUAGGGGAGCAAACAGG